GAAUAUUGGACAAUGGGGGCAACCCUGAUCCAGCAAUGCCGCGUGAGUGAAGAAGGCCUUAGGGUUGUAAAGCUCUUUCGGCGGGGAAGAUGAUGACGGUACCCGCCGAAGAAGCCCCGGCUACCUCCGUGCCAGCAGCCGCGGUAAUACGGAGGGGGCUAGCGUUGUUCGGAAUUACUGGGCGUAAAGGGCGCGUAGGCGGUGCGGUAAGUUAGGCGUGAAAGGCCCGGGCUCAACCCGGGAACUGCGCUUAAGACUGCCGCGCUGUGAGUCCGGGAGAGGAUGGCGGAAUUCCCAGUGUAGAGGUGAAAUUCGUAGAUAUUGGGAAGAACACCAGUGGCGAAGGCGGCCAUCUGGCCCGGUACUGACGCUGAGGCGCGAAAGCGUGGGGAGCAAACAGG
rnacentral:rRNA from 1 species